AGUGAACGCUGGCGGUAUGCCUAACACAUGCAAGUCGAACGACAGCACAGUAAGAGCUUGCCCUUACUGGUGGCGGGUGGCGGGCGGGUGAGGCAUACAUCAGCAUCUACUUUUUCUUGGAGGAUAACGUAGGGCCACUUACGCUACUACCGCAUACUACCUACGGGUGAAAGCAGGAGAUCUUCGGACCUUUCGCGAUUCAAUUAGACGGUGCCGGAUUAGCUAGUUGGCGGGGUAACGGCCCACCAAGGCAACGAACCGUAGCUGGUCUGAGAGGAUGAUCAGCCACACUGGAACUGAGACACGGUCCAGACUCCUACGGGAGGCAGCAGUGGGGAAUAUUGGACAAUGGGCGCAAGCCUGAUCCAGCAAUACCGCGUGGGUGAAGAAGGCCUUCGGGUUGUAAAGCCCUGUUGUUGGGAAAGAAAAGCAGCAGGUGAAUACCCCGCUGUUCUGACGGUACCCAAAGAAUAAGCACCGGCUAACUUCGUG
rnacentral:rRNA from 1 species